rnacentral:rRNA from 1 species
CGUGUAGGCGGCCCGGUAAGUCGGUUGUGAAAGUCAGGGCUUAACCCUUGAAUGCCGACCGAUACUGUCGGGCUAGAGUCCGGAAGAGGCGAGUGGAAUUCCUGGUGUAGCGGUGAAAUGCGCAGAUAUCAGGAGGAACACCAAUGGCGAAGGCAGCUCGCUGGGACGGUACUGACGCUGAGACGCGAAAGCGUGGGAGCAAACA